AAUAAUUUUUAACGGUUUAAAUUAUUAUUUUUUUUUUACUGUUUUUCUCAUUAUAAUUUGCAAAUAAUACGUUUUUUAGAAUAUGUACGUUCGCUCCUCUGAAUUGUUACCAACCUAUACUUAAACAAUCAGACAAAACAUCAAUCGAAAUGCUGGUGAGUCAUUAUCAAUAAUGUCAGAGUACCGAAAACAAUCUAGGAUCUCGGUGAUGCAAAUGUUUCACGAGCUCAAACAACAAUUUCCAACCGUUCCUGAUCAAGUUGUUUCUGAUUGUAUACUUAAGCAUUCAAUUAAUCGAGAAGCUUGUGUAUCAAAUCUAAAGAACAUUCAAAAAAAUUACGUUCAACAAACUUAUCCAUCUGACAUUGUUGAUAAAAUGGCUAACAGACCAAAGUCUCUUGAAAUGCAACAAAAUAAUCUUUCUUUACCCAAAUUACAGUUUUCAAAUGCACCACCAACAUUAAAUGAUACCAAGGAUGUAAUGAACUCAAGUAGAAGUGAUUCAAUUAAUACUAAAAUUUUAGAUAUAGAUUUUAAUUUAAAUAGAUGCCAGUGUUCAUCUAUUUCAGCCCCAUCAACACCUUUACAACUGCCCCAAGAAGAACACAGACACAAAUCUAGUCUUUCAUUGGAUUCUGUGUCAUUUGUUGAUUCACAAUGUCGGCCAUUUACUUCUGUAAGUCUGACACUAAGAAAACCCACCAAAGAUCCUUUACCUCCUUUAGAUUUAUCAACGGGAGGAGGAUCUGAGCUCACGUAUACAGCUUGUUCUUUUGAUCCUACAACUGAUCCAAAAAACUGCUAUCAAUCAAGACUUCAUAUAAGUAUUGAUCCUGAAGGUGAAACUACUGUAACUACAUCUCGUAUUAUGGUAUCACCAACAAAUAUUAAACCUCUUAAUCGGAUAGCUGAAAGUCAAAUUCCUGGUUCAAUUCAAACUGACAAUAUUUUACCUAAAAUUAAAAUGGUAAUUAAUGCUCAACUAGAAAGAAAACGAAAAUUGGCUUCAGAAUUAUCAAUAGAAAGACAAAGAUUAGAAAUUAUGAAAAAAAAUGUGAUUAUGAUGGAAGAAGAUAUUGCCAGAAGACGUUCAUAUUCCAGAAAAAUUGAACGUUUAAGAAAUGAUAUUGAACUUUUACGAUUAGAAUGUCAUAAAUUAACUCUUCAAGUAGACACAGGGACAGGAAAUCAAGUUAUAUUGGAUGAAACAAAUGAUAAAUUUUAUAAUCAAAUUUAUACUGGCCAAAAAAUUUCUUUUGGGAAAAUGCACAAUGAUUAUCAAGAACAUUUAGAAAGUCAAAACUGGGUUUGUCCUAUGUGCACAUUCCAAAAUCAUCCAAUAUUGCCAAGAUGUGAACAGUGUGAUAUGGCUCGUUUUGAUUUAGGUACAACGUCAGUCAUGAACAGCAAUAUACCCUUGUGUACCAAAUUAACCUCGAAUCUAACAAGGCCAUGCUUAACAUAAAUGUGAUAUUUUUACUAUGUUUUAUGGAAAACCUCAGCCUUAUUUUGACAAUAUUCAUGUAAGAGUUACUCAUCGCAUAAAUCAUCAAAGAAAAACUACUAGUUUGUAUUGAAGUAUUUU
rnacentral:misc_RNA from 1 species